rnacentral:rRNA from 1 species
UACAGAGGGGGCUAGCGUUAUUCGGAAUUAUUGGGCGUAAAGGGCGCGUAGGCGGCCAUGCGUGUCUUCCGUGAAAUCCCUCGGCUUAACUGAGGACGUGCGGAAGAAACUGCAAGGCUCGAGUCCGGGGAGAGGGGGGUGGAAUUCCCAGUGUAGCGGUGAAAUGCGUAGAUAUUGGGAGGAACACCGGUGGCGAAGGCGGCCCCCUGGACCGGUACUGACGCUGAG